GAUGAAGAACGCAGCGAAAUGCGAUACGUAAUGUGAAUUGCAGAAUUCAGUGAAUCAUCGAAUCUUUGAACGCAUAUUGCGCUCUCUGGUAUUCCGGAGAGCAUGCUUGAUUGAGUAUCAGUAAACACCUCAACUUCCAUAUCUUUUUUGAAAUGGGAGUUGGACUUGAGUGAUCCCAACGCUUUUCCUCACCGAAAAGUGGCGGGUUACUUGAAAUGCAGGUGCAGCUGGACUUUUCUCUGAGCUAUAAGCAUAUCUAUUUAGUCUGCCUAAAAAACAGAUUAUUACCUUUGCUGCAGCUAACAUAAAGGAGAUUAGUUCUUGUGCUGACUGAUGCAGGAUUCACAAAGACAGGCUUCGGCCGACUUUGUAAACUCGAUCUCAAAUCAAGUAAGACUACCCGCUGAACUUAAGCAUAUCAAUAAGCGGAGGA
rnacentral:misc_RNA from 1 species